rnacentral:lncRNA from 1 species
UUAUUCUGCUUAAGAAAUAUUGAAGAGGUGAAAGGAAAUGUUCUGUCACAAUUUAAAUCCUCCUUCAAGGUCUGUAGCCAGAAGGUAGUGAUGGGCACCUGAUCCUGUGCCAACGGAGGGCACUUGUGGAGUAACACAAGGUUCAAUCAUCUCUCCUUGCCUUUUCCUUACCUUCAUGCAGCCACUGGAAGAAUUUCUGAAACUCCAUGGACUCAAAUGGCAGGAGUAUCUAGUAUGCAACUCUAUUAACCCUUCACAUCAUACUUUAACAGCAGUCCCAUUGGCCAAUACCUGCAAAUAGACGAGGAGCUGGCUGAAGAUGAAUCCAAGCAGACAGAAGUCAGGCUAGCAGGCAACUGUAAUCACUUUGAAGAACUUGCUGCCAGUAUGUUAUCGCCUCCAAUGAAGGACAUUUGUCCCAAAAUCACCAGGGUAGUUGCCGUCUAGGUGUCCUUCUAGAUGUCUUCCGGACACUGGUUUCUCACACAACACCAGCCACAAAAAGCAUGUUCCAUGAACUGCCAUUAUCAAGGAGACUCUGCCUAUUGCUUUCCAGUGGUGACCUGGCAUUGGCAUUUUCAAAUGUCUUUUGGAAAAUUAUAGUGGAAUAUACCUCAUCUAGACAACAUCAGCCUGGUGAAAGCUGAAACUGAUGUAAAAAGCAUCAGGUCACCUCCUCAGCAACAUGGGGACAAAAACCCCAUCACCCUUUACGUUGCUUGCUCCACUAACUCCUUAUUGAACAUCAGGUCAAGUUUCAGGUUUCACAGUAAAAUUUUCAAAAGUGUCUUAGGCUCCUAAAUAAUUUUUUUGAAAAUGGGAUUUAGGCUUCUGAAGUGCUUAAAUCCAAUUAGGGCUCAGGCACCUUAGUUACUUUGGAAAAUGUUACCUUUUGUCCUCAUUUUAAAGGACCUCUUAGGUGGGUUUUUUUAAACUUUUGCGUGAUUCAAUGAAAAAUAGUAAAUUGUUCUUAAAUGUCACCAAAAAUGAUUGUUUGUAAGGACAUAACCACUUGGAUUAGAAUGGAGAAAUUUUUCACACAAAACUAAAAAUCACACUUUAUUUUCAGAUUGCUCUAAUAAAUACGCAUAUUCUGGCA